rnacentral:rRNA from 1 species
GGAGGGUGCAAGCGUUAUCCGGAUUUACUGGGUUUAAAGGGUGCGUAGGUGGGUAGGUAAGUCAGUGGUGAAAUCUUCAAGCUUAACUUGGAAACUGCCAUUGAUACUAUUUAUCUUGAAUACUUUGGAGGUAAGCGGAAUAUGUCAUGUAGCGGUGAAAUGCUUAGAUAUGACAUAGAACACCAAUUGCGAAGGCAGCUUACUACACAGUUAUUGACACUGAGGCACGAAAGCGUGGGGAUCAAACAGGAUUAGAUACCCUGGUAGUCCACGCCCUAAACGAUGGAUACUCGACAUUAGCGAUACACAGUUAGUGUCUGAGCGAAAGCAUUAAGUAUCCCACCUGGGAAGUACGACCGCAAGGUUG